UCCCUGGUGGCUCAGAGGUUAAAGUGUCUGCUUGUAAUACAGGAGACCUGGGUUCGAUCCCUGGGUUGGGAA
rfam:Ovis aries breed Texel chromosome 1, whole genome shotgun sequence.